rnacentral:misc_RNA from 1 species
UUCUCACUCCCUCACUCACCUGCCUUCGCCGUCGGGACUCCUUUCUCGAAUCCUCUACAGCCGCUAACAUGACGGACAAAAGCGUCUAUGGCGGUCUCUUUCAAGACCCGCCGUACCUGUCCUCCGACCCGGAUCCGAAAAAGACGGACCCCUACGACAAGAAGGAUGCCAUCCCGUCAAGGUACUUGGGCAAGAAUAUGACGAUCGGCGGCCGUGUGCCGCCUGGCCAGCACCCCGACGCCUACUUCGACAAGAGGUUCCUCACCCUCGCCUCCUCGGAGCAGAAUGGAGGUAAGCCGGUGGACUACGACGAAAGCAAGCGGCUCACCGCCGCCUCCAAGACAAACACCAAGAACGCCAUCUCCGACAAAGAGUUUUGCUACUCAUCGUACCCGGAGAAGAGCACCGGCCCGGGCAGCUACUAUGGAUGCUUUCAGAAUCGCCCGUACGAAUACAUGACGGAGCCGUGGGAUGAUGGAAAGUCCAAGAAGAAGAGGACAACGAAGACGAAGGAGGAGGAGCCGACGCACUUGCCUAACAUCAAGACGAACCCCACCAAGAAGGGCACGUAUGGCUACCCCGGACUGCUACUGAGCAACCCUUCUUACGACGACGACUGGAAGAAGGACUACGCUGCAGCAGAGGCAAACAGGGCACGCAGGGAGCGUAAGCAGGGCCCCGCACCAAAGGCUCUAGGGCCACCGUUUCACAUUCCUGGUGUGAGCCACUCUUACAUCGACGAGAUGCCGAAUACAGGUGUGUCCGCGGUGUAUGCGGCCUACGAGGCCCCGGCAGAUAGCGCUGCUGCGAAGCGCAAGGCCAAGAGGGAAGCUGCGGCUGCUCCUACCCUAGUCCACGAGCGCGCGUUCUACGGGUCUGCCAACCGGUCCGGCGAGCCGGGUUGCCUGAACCCGUUCCCCAACGUGUGGGUGCACCCGGAUGAGACGCAGCCGUCGAAGUUCGCGCUGCGCAAACAGGCGCAGAAGGAGAAGGAGGAGGCGGCUCGGCAGCCCAAAAGAACCGAAGUGUGGAGGCCGAACUCUUUCGGGAAGACGUCUGUAGUGUCCUCGUGCCUUCGCCGAUUCUACUGAGCGACUCGGUCCCUGUCGUUGUUGUUGCCGAUCAAAGUCUCCCCUAAUCAGCCUUGCUUUUUGUGCGAGAGUGUGUGUGUUCUCUUGCUGGCAGGGCUGCAUCUCCUUUCUCACUCGUCUUUGCGGGGAAAGAUCUGCAGGGCUCUUCUUUGGAGUUCCGUGGCCGGUGCUCGGCUAGCUGCCGUAGACGGUGGAUAGGGCGGAUGUGGCGAGGUGGGGACCGGCGAGGAAGGCAACACGCCGUCUCACUCCGUGUUUCUGACCCUCUGAUCAUGGAUGAUCACUUGCGUGCCUGCCGCCCUGCGAUGCUGGCACUGCGGGAUCUGCCAGCCCUCCUCUCUUUCUACCUCACUCCUUGUUCUUUCUCUACCGCCGGUGAAGGAAAAGGGUAGGGGGAAAGCCCCUGGAAAAAAGGGCAAAUACGGGCUGCGCGUGCACCCUUCCCCUUCCCAGGGUCUCCCUUCGCCUUUGCUUUGAUAUCUGAAAAUGCUGCUGUCGUUGGAUUUCAUCACUCUCGUUGCGCGCAUGUACGCUAACCUCCUCUCCCCCUACUGCCUUGACCGGGGGGAGGAAAGGGGCCUUUCGGAGUUGUCUGCCUGGAGCCACUUAUACUUCUUUUCCGUUUCCGGAUCCUUCCGCAUGUACAGCGAAGAAUUCACGAUGGACGAGAUUGAAAGGAGGUAAGGGGGAGGGGAAGCCGCCGACUGAGGCGUCUUUUUGCUCGCUCUCACCUCCUGUGUCGCGUGCGCUCUCAUCGGCGUCUAGCGGCACACCCUAUCCGUUAUCCUCGCUCAUCUCUCCACUUCCGCACCAUCACCUCUUUGGCCUCCCCUCUCUCGCCCUUCUUUUCGUUUGUUUGCUCGCUUUUUCAUUGCCCAUGUAUGCUGUGAGGAGAACCUGACUCCUGUGAUUCCUGUGCUCCUGCCUUUCCCUUCUCAGCCUGCCCCCCUUCCUUCCCUUCCCUUUCCUCGCAGCCUCAUCUGGCGCGGCGUGCAUUCUGACAUAUGAUGUCUCUGUUGACGGGCAAUCGCAAAGACAGCGACACUAACGAGAAUGCGCAGUACGCGAAAACAGCUCGUCUUCGUUCGACUCUUCUCUCCAUGCAUUCUCUCUCCUUUGAGUUUCCCCACUUCUACGUUGGCCUGACUAGCAGCCAUUCCCACACUCAAAGGACCUGGAGAAGAACGGUGGCGAAAAGCUACGAGCAAACUUCGUACAUGACGGCGCCAAUCGUGGGGCCCCGCGCUGAACGAUCCCCUUCUCAUCGUCCAGCGCGCCUUGACUUCCCCUCUCUUCUUUCACUUUCCUGUUCUCCCCUUCCCUACUCUCUAUCUACUGAUUUGUUUCUUCGAAUUUCCGGCUGCUUGCACACACCCCGUUUGCGUGUAUGUCCCCGCACACAUAUGCGCAUGUCAUGAUGCGCGUGCGCGUAUGCGCGUUCGCUGUGUUGUUGCGUUUGCCGCUCAACUUCUUUUUGUACUGCUUCGACUCACUGUUUGCACUGUGUGAGCGUCGCUGCUCUUACGCCCAUACAUAUAUAUAUAUAUAUGCACGCCAACAUGCACACCGUUGCACAUACCGGUCAAG